rnacentral:rRNA from 1 species
GACGUAGGGCGCGAGCGUUGUCCGGAUUUAUUGGGCGUAAAGAGCUCGUAGGCGGCUUGUCGCGUCGUCCGUGAAAACUUGGGGCUCAACCCCAAGCUUGCGGUCGAUACGGGCAGGCUCGAGUUCGGUAGGGGAGACUGGAAUUCCUGGUGUAGCGGUGAAAUGCGCAGAUAUCUGGAGGAACACCGGUGGCGAAGGCGGCAUCCUGGACCGACACUGACACUGAGGAGCGAAAGCCAGGGGAGCAAACGGG